CGUCAUGGCAGUUGUGCGCGGGAGGCCAUUCGGCCUGCUGGGUUUUCCGCCCCGGUCUUGCACACCCGCGUACUGCUGCCACCCUA
rnacentral:antisense_RNA from 1 species